GUUUGCAACAUCAAAAGUUCGAAGCAAGGAAAUCGAUCAACAGGGCUCAGUCACUCAGUACUAUGCUUAGUACUUUUUUAAAUAUCUAUCGGAGAAGUCUGGCUGGGAGAAUGGAAGAAAUUCAGACGCUCAAAUGACUUCUUUUACAAUAACGUGGAGAAGAAAGGAAACAC